rnacentral:rRNA from 1 species
CCUACGGGAGGCAGCAGUAGGGAAUAUUGGGCAAUGGAGGCAACUCUGACCCAGCCAUGCCGCGUGCAGGAUGAAGGCGUUAUGCGUUGUAAACUGCUUUUAUAUAGGAAGAAAUAGACCUUGCGAGGUAAGUUGACGGUACUAUAUGAAUAAGCACCGGCUAACUCCGUGCCAGCAGCCGCGGUAAUACGGAGGGUGCAAGCGUUGUCCGGAUUUAUUGGGUUUAAAGGGUGCGUAGGCGGUUUAUUAAGUCAGUGGUGAAAGACGGUCGCUCAACGAUUGCAGUGCCAUUGAUACUGGUAGACUUGAGUGGGAUUGAGGUAGCUGGAAUGGAUAGUGUAGCGGUGAAAUGCAUAGAUAUUAUCCAGAACACCAAUUGCGUAGGCAAGUUACUAAGUCUCAACUGACGCUGAGGCACGAAAGUGUGGGUAUCAAACAGGAUUAGAUACCCUGGUAGUCCACACUGUAAACGAUGAUAACUAACUGUUGGCUUUCGGGUCAGUGGUACAGAGAAAUCGUUAAGUUAUCCACCUGGGGAAGUACGCCGGCAACGGUGAAACUUCAAAGGAAUUGACGGCGNGAGAGNGCGAGACGACACGAGGAGAGG